rnacentral:rRNA from 1 species
UAUCUCUGUAGAGUCUGCAUAUCAAUAAGCGGAGGAAAAGAAACUAACAAGGAUUCCCCUAGUAACGGCGAGUGAAGCGGGAAGAGCUCAAAUUUGAAAUCUUAAAGGGUUUCCCUUUACGAAUUGUAGUUUAAAGAAGUGUUUUCUGUUGGAGUUUUGGUAAAAGUUCUUUGGAAUAGGACAUCAUAGAGGGUGAGAAUCCCGUAUUUGACCAUUAUUUCCAGCUUUGUGAUACACUUUCAAAGAGUCGGAUUGUUUGGGAAUGCAGUCCAAAAUGGGUGGCAAAUUUCAUCUAAAGCUAAAUAUUGGCGAGAGACCGAUAGCGAACAAGUACCGUGAGGGAAAGAUGAAAAGAACUUUGAAAAGAGAGUUAAACAGUACGUGAAAUUGUCAAAAGGGAAGCGUUUGACACCAGUGUUGUUUUCUCGAAAAUCAAUUAAAAAAAGUUGGAUUUUGUAUUGUUAAGACCUUAUCAGCUUACUGUACUCUUUUCUUGCUUUUUUUAAUGCACUUUUCGUUUAACAAGUCAACAUCAAUUUCUUUUGUUGUAAAAGAGUCAUUGGAAGGUGGCUUUCACUUCGGUGAAAGUGUUUAUAGCCUUUGGCCUCUGCAAUCGGAGAGAUUGAGGUCUGCAGCGUAGAUCCUUCGGGGCUAGAUACGUAGAUGCUAAGUUAUAGUUUUUUAUAGACAACUUGUUGACUAUAAUUAAUCAUGUAGCUUACUCGUUUGCGCUAUUUUACCUACGCUUAGGAUGUUGACGAUCAGCUGAGCGCG